AGAGUUUAGGGCCAUGUGGCUGUGACAUCUGUCACCCCAUUGAUCGCCAGGGUUGAUUUGGCUGAUCUGGCUGGCUAGGCUGGUGGCCCCUUCCUCCAUCACCGCUCCAUAUGCAUCCCUCCUGCAGCUGCGCACUCAGUAGAAGUGAAGUCUUCCUUGACACAGGAGGACCAUUCUUUGAUCAAGGGUAGCUGUGCUCCCCUGCCAGAACUUCCGAACAGACUCUCAAGGUCCAUUUGUAGAAGAAUGUAGGGUAAUCAAACUUCUAAGACUCGAGACACAUCCAGAUGAGGCACUGCAUGUCACAGUCUGCCUUUCU
ensembl:misc_RNA 7SK 7SK RNA